AGGGGCUCCUUUGGCUAAGGACAUCAACCCCUGUAAUUGCAGGAGGGAGCCCACCAGGACACACAGUCAGUGAGCAGCAGAUCUCUGUCAUGCCCUUCCAGGGUGCAGGAGCUCUCCCUCUUAAGUGACGUCACGGGUGGUUAUCCCCUCUUUCCUGUGUAAGAGCAGCAGCUGCAGCUCCUCUGCUCACUACUCAGCCAUCCUUGCAUCCUUGCGUGGACAGCUCUGUUGCCAUCUUCUACGGAGAGGACAGAGUGGCUGUCCUGGUCCCUGAGGGCAGGGACCCGGGCCUGGCAUUCCCCGAUGCUUUCAGCAUGGACUGAGAGCAGUGCCAGUCCUUCAAGGCAGCAAAGGGCAAGAAGGCAAUGAUGUUGGGCGUCCACAGUGGGACUGAGAAGAUAGAGGCCCCAGUGCUUCUUCUGGCUGCAGUAGGACAGGCAGCGACCCUGGGAACAGCAGAAAGAUGCCUCCGUGGGUACCACCUCUCCUUGCUGUGGCAUACUAUGGAUCAGUCUCCUUCAAAACCGCUGCUUCUCUUUCAAGGAAAAUCAGGGCCAUGGCAUGCUGCUGACCCAAUAGCCCUGGAAGGAGAAAGAGAGACAGAGGAAGUGCCAACACAGAGGUAACCAUGAAAAUUCUAGAGGUGAGCAGCCCUGGGCAACGGCCCUGCAAAGACACCCCCUGGCCCCACAUGUCCACCACUCCAUCACGUGCUCUCCAUCCACUCACUUUGUCUCCUUUGCCAGCAGUUUGGGACUUCCGCACGUCUUCACAGCACUUGAGGAUGCAGUAAGUAAAAUUGUCCCUUCUUGGAACACGGCAGCCCUCUCCAGUCACCUCCCACCAAAUGAAAUCCCACUAACACUGCUCUCUGCUCUGCUACAGCUCCUCAGUGCCCAGGAAAAUGGAUAAGAACUGUGAAAUACUCGACCAGUUCAACAGACGUCUUCAGGCCUUGACCAGAUGCAUGGCGAUGCUCACCUUGGAACUGCCUGAGGGCAGCGAUGAUUCCACCAGCUCGGUCACAGUGAGUGAAAACCGCUGCUCUUUGAGGACAUCGCUGUAUCCGUUGAGCACCAGUUGGGGGGAAAUGGAGGCACCUUACCGACACCCAAAAGCCCAGGAGAACUUGGAAAGCUCCAUCCCAGAAAGGAAAGCGGAGCAGGGACUGGGCCUCAGUGAUCAGAGAAAGCCUGAUGUGAUGGUGGCUCCCACGGUGCAGGACCUGCCCUUAGAGGAUGAGGCUAUGCAAAGUCAUUCGGAGCAUCCUAACAUAAAAAUGCAGGCACCACAGUUCCUGAAGAGGAGUUUCUCAGAGCCUGUCCUGGGUCAGAGAGACUCCCAGCUUCCCCAUCCUCUGAGGCACUCAAGGAGGCCCACUUACUCGCUCUUCCAGCGUGGGCAUGGGCAAGCUCUGGCAAGGAGGUCAGCAGCACAGGCCCUUGUCCCACGGCGAAAAUCUGCCCCCGAGACAGAUAAGUGCAGACAAGAAACAAGGAUUCCAGUCCACAUUGCCUGCUGCAGAAUCUAUGAAGGCCCUGAUGACCAUCAGAUCAAGAUGAUGCAUCUGUGGCUGGAGCAAUAUGAAUAUGUUGAGAGGCGAAAGUUGGAAUUUUAUAGAGACUACUACACCCAGCCUAACAAUGAAGGAUCCCAGGGCGUGGCUCCAUCUGACACUGCAGCCCCGGUUGUUGCAGGAGGAGCAACAGUUCGAGAGAGGAAUUCACCCGAGGUCAAGGCCAGUGAGCAACAGGACAAGAAAAAUACCACUGCUGCCCAGCAGCCAGAGGGGCUCCCUGAACGUACCCUCGUGGAGAGUUCUUCGGUUGUGCCAUGGAGGCGUCUGCCACAGGGUAGACCAUUCAGACCCCAAGCAGCACACGCAGAGAUGACGCCCAGGCAAGAAGCAGCAGAACACACGACUCCUAGACCAGAGACACCACCUACGCUGUGCAGAAACUGCUGUGCACCAGCCCUCCUGUGCCAUUUCAUUCAGAAUGCCGGGGCCAAGCUCCGAGCUGCCAGCAUGGCCCUCUAUUCCCUGAUCAGAAAGGCAACUAAGAAGCUCUCAAAGAAGGGAAGAGAGCCCAUCAUGAAAAACAGAUCCUUAGAGCAGGCCAGGCUGGACACAGAUCAACGUAGGAGCAGACGAUCACUGAGUCUACUGGCCAAAAAGAAAAACCCACGUACACCUCAGGAGGCAAUGAGGAAGGACAUGGUGGCAUCUCAAGAUAAGACUUUCAGCGAUGCCAGUGAGGCCAGAGGUGCCGAAAAAGCAUUGAGCCAGGGUGGCAGCAGCCACAGGCACCUGGACGUGCUGGCUCCUGUUGCCCGUAGAGAGCCAGCCAACGUGCUGCUACCUCGGAGAAGGCUGCUCUUGGAGACUGAAGCUCCUGCCCCAUCUCAGUCUGUUCUAGCAGAUGUCCAGGCAGGCACAGCUGCAGUGAGUAGUGGAUUACUGCCAGAUGCUACCAGGGGGCAGAAGCAGAAGGGCAAGGGACACACCCAGGACAAGCCAGCUCCUCCAAGAAGAAAGUCCCCAAAGAAAAAGCAGUCCUCCAGUGAGCAGAGACCCUCAGGUCUGCCACAGCUUCCAAAUCUCGCUGGGACCGACAUUCCAAUCUCCCUCCUGCAGGAGCUUUUCACAGCACUUAGAGAUUUGAAGAAAGCCAGACAAACUGCUGAUGAGCUGCAGAAGCAGGUGCUGGCUUCCUUCUCAAAUCAGCCCACAAACAAUGCCAAGUAACUGAGGACAGAUACGGCAGCAGAGGAACCUGGGGCGAGGACACAGAGUGGAAGAGAAGGGCGAGGGAUGCACCCAGAACAGAUCUGACUAUGGGUCACUCUGCCCUACAUGCACCAAAGCUCCAUGCUGCUGCCAGCCAGGAGGUGUAAGCUCCCAGCGAUUGGCUGCACCUGCAACUGCAGCCCCAGGUGCAGGAAGAGAAGUGACUGUGAGAGAAGAAUCCCUCCAUGAGGACAGGGACAAGAGGCAGCAGACCUGAAAAAUGCUCCUG
ensembl:lncRNA